GAGUAGAAGGGGUACCCCGAAGUCGGUAGUCUAACCGCAAGGAGGACGCCGCCGAAGGUAUGUUUUGUAAGGAGGGUGAAGUCGUAACAAGGUAGUCGUACCGGAAGGUGCGGCUGGAUCACCUCCUUUCUAAGAGAAAGGUCAAAAAUGCUUCGCGUUUUUGACGGUCGAUUUUCUUACGAAAAUCGAGGUCAUAGAUGCGGAUAAGCAGAUUAAGUGUUAGAUGUACAACACGGGCUUCUUUUUAAGUACGCCUUUUGCGCUUUUCUUUCCUCCCUUUUAUUUAUACGGGACUGUAGCUCAGUCGGUUAGAGCACU
rnacentral:misc_RNA from 1 species